rnacentral:lncRNA from 1 species
AAAAAUAGAAAAAAUAUAUAAACUGCAAAAAAAAACAACGUUUUUUAACUCCUUUCUUAUAGGAAUUACUCCUUUUAAAAUGCAACUACAAAUUAGUUACCUCUUUCAAAAUAUUCUAUAUCUGUAUAUACUCAUAUGACCUGUGUGAUUUCAUUUUAAUUUCUCCUACAAGAGAAAACAAAUCAUCCCUUCUUUUUCUUCACAAAAUGAGACGGAUUUCGUAAGUCCGUGAUGAAUUUUAAUAUUUUUCGUUGAAUUUUGACCGAGACAGUGACAACAUCGCCUGAUGUUUGAAUUCCAAUGGUGAUGCGUGGUUUUUGUUGAUGGGAGUCCAUGGUUCCCCAGUGAUGGAGCGGCGGGGGAGUUGGAGAUCGGAGCAGGAGAGGAGACGACAACUGUUGGUGUUAGUCGGUCGGCGACGACGAGUGUUGGUGGUAGUCGGUCGGCGACGACGUCGGCGACGGCUGUUGGACGCACAAUUGGAGUAUGUGUCUACAAAUAUUUUAUGUAAAAUUUAACAAAAAUUUGAUGACAAUAGUUGGUGAUAAUUAUAAUAGAUUAGAUCUUACAAAUCUACUGUUUGCGUGGUCUAAUGAAUAAUAAUCAUAUAUUCUAUGUAAUUUCACAGUAUGAGUUUUAAGGUUAAAGUUUCAUGGAUUUUACAUUAUUUUCAUUAUCCACUUCUCUAUCUUCUAUACUCAAACUCAAUUAACUUUAUUAUGUGAAGUUGAGAACGCAAUCUGAAGUGAGCCAUAGGAAGAUGAUAGCGUUUGAAGUAUCAAGUUUGUGAGUUGUGGAAGAUGAAUAUCAUAUGUUUGAAGUAUCACUUUUGUGAGUUGUGGAAAAUUAAAGUUACUACGUUAUAAAGUUAUAACUGCAAAAAGAGAAACAAAACUUAACAAAUGCAGGGACACUUUGGUAUGAAAUAUACUAAGAUGUCUGUUAUGAAUGUAAUUAGUAAAAUGCAACUCAUGUGUUUAUUACUUAAGUUAGUUUCAUGGACAAUAAAAUUAUAUGAAUUGUCAAUAUUUAUUAAUCUUUGGUUUCUGAACUUUUCAUUUAAUUUUUCAUUCAUGUUUGAUGUUUUCUGUAGAAAAUGGCACAAACGAAGGAGAAUACCAAGCAGAUGUUGUCUAAAUAAGCCAUUAAAAUUACCCAACGUCAACGUAUGUCGAGGAAGAUGAACGAUUUAUUAACAAGUUUACUCCUUUAACAGUACAUGCAUAUUUCUCUAAUCUUCUUUUGGGGGGAUGUAAUAUACUAAGACCUUAUAAAUUAAAUAGUUUGCUUCUCUUGAAAUAGUUUAGCUGUUGUAAAUUUAUAAUCAAAUAGGUGAGUAUCAAUAUAUUUUGAGAUGCAUCGUCUUCC